CAUUUAUGGAUGGACCCGCGUCGCAUUAGCUAUUUGGUGAGGUAACGGCUCACCAAGGCAACAAUGCAUACCCGACCUGAGAGGGUGAUCGGCCACACUGGGACUGAGACACGGCCCAGACUCCUACGGGAGGCAACAUUAGGGAAUCUUCCGCAAUGGACAAAAGUCUGACGGAGCAACGCCGCGUGAGUGAUGAAGGCUUUCGGGUCGUAAAACUCUGUUGUUAGGGAAAAACAAGUGCUAGUUGAAUAGGCUGGCACCUUGACGGUACCUAACCAAAAAGCCACGGCUAACUACGUGCCAACACCCGCGGUAAUACGUAUGUGGCAAGCGUUAUCCGGAAUUAUUGGGCGUAAAGCGCGCGCAGGUGGUUUCUUAAGUCUGAUGUGAAAGCCCACGGCUCACCCGUGGAGGGUCAUUGGAAACUGGGAGACUUGAGUGCAGAAGAGGAAGUGAUUUCCAUGUGUAGCGGUGAAAUGCGUAGAGAUGUGGAGGAACACCAGUGGCGAGGCGACUCUCUGGUCUGUAACUGACCUGAGCGCGAAAGCGUGGGGAGCAAACAGGAUU
rnacentral:rRNA from 1 species